AUGACCUCCACCAUGGCCUGGUAUACCCUCCUCCUCACCCUCCUUGCUCACUGCACAGGGUCCUGGGCCCAGUCUGUGCUGACUCAGCCAUCCUCACUGUCUGGGUCCCCUGGCCAGAGGGUCACCAUCUCCUGCACUGGAGACAGCACCAACAUUGGCGAUGGUUAUACUGUGUCUUGGUACCAACAGCACCCAGGAAAGGCCCAUAAAACCAUCAUCUAUAAUACUAGCAGUAGACCUUCAGGGGUCCCUGAACGGUUUUCUGGCUCUAGGUCUGGCAACACUGGCUCCCUCACCAUCACUGGUCUCAAGGCUGAGGAUGAGGCUGAUUAUUACUGCUUAUCAGGGGAUAAAAGUCUCAGUGGUCACACAGUGCUCUGGGUUUGUGAGGAAGUGAGACAAUAA